rnacentral:rRNA from 1 species
GAUGAACGCUAGCGACAGGCUUAACACAUGCAAGUCGAGGGGCAGCAUAAAAGUAGCAAUACUUUGGUGGCGACCGGCGCACGGGUGAGUAACGCGUAUGCAACCUACCUAUCAGAGGGGAAUAACCCGGCGAAAGUCGGACUAAUACCGCAUAAAACAGGGGCACCGCAUGGUGAUAUUUGUUAAAGAAAUUCGCUGAUAGAUGGGCAUGCGUUCCAUUAGGUAGUUGGUGAGGUAACGGCUCACCAAGCCGACGAUGGAUAGGGGAACUGAGAGGUUGGUCCCCCACACUGGUACUGAGACACGGACCAGACGCCUACGGGAGGCAGCAGUGAGUAAUAUUGGUCAAUGGUCGAGAGCCUGAACCAGCCAAGUCGCGUGAAGGAAGAAGGAUCUAUGGUUCGUAAACUUCUUUUGCAGGGGAAUAAAGUGCGGGACGUGUCCUGUUUUGUAUGUACCCUGAGAAUAAGGAUCGGCUAACUCCGUGCCAGCAGCCGCCGCCG